CGGUUAUUUGCCUCACCAGCGGCGAGUGAAGCGGCAAGAGCUCAGAUUUGAAAUCGUGCUUUGCGGCACGAGUUGUAGAUUGCAGGUUGGAGUCUGUGUGGAAGGCGGUGUCCAAGUCCCUUGGAACAGGGCGCCCAGGAGGGUGAGAGCCCCGUGGGAUGCCGGCGGAAGCAGUGAGGCCCUUCUGACGAGUCGAGUUGUUUGGGAAUGCAGCUCCAAGCGGGUGGUAAAUUCCAUCUAAGGCUAAAUACUGGCGAGAGACCGAUAGCGAACAAGUACUGUGAAGGAAAGAUGAAAAGCACUUUGAAAAGAGAGUGAAACAGCACGUGAAAUUGUUGAAAGGGAAGGGUAUUGCGCCCGACAUGGGGAUUGCGCACCGCUGCCUCUCGUGGGCGGCGCUCUGGGCUUUCCCUGGGCCAGCAUCGGUUCUUGCUGCAGGAGAAGGGGUUCUGGAACGUGGCUCUUCGGAGUGUUAUAGCCAGGGCCAGAUGCUGCGUGCGGGGACCGAGGACUGCGGCCGUGUAGGUCACGGAUGCUGGCAGAACGGCGCAACACCGCCCGUCUUGAAACACCCGGGAACAUUGU
rnacentral:rRNA from 1 species